rnacentral:rRNA from 1 species
UACGUAGGGUGCAGGCGUUAAUCGGAAUUACUGGGCGUAAAGGGUGCGUAGGCGGCGCGGUAAGUCGGGUGUGAAAUCUCGGAGCCUAACUCCGAAACUGCAUUCGAUACUGCCGUGCUUGAGGACUGGAGAGGAGACUGGAAUGUACGGUGUAGCGGUGAAAUGCGUAGAUAUCUGGAGGAAUACCGGUGGCGAAGGCGGCAUCCUGGACCGAGAUUGACGCUGAGGAGCGAAAGCUAGGGGAGCAAACGGG